rnacentral:lncRNA from 1 species
AGACCCACAGCCAGUCUCGGCUCCAAUGCCACCAGAUAUAGGGCAUCCAAAACCUCAUUGAGCAACCCAUCCCAGUGAGUAACCACCCUCAGUGUGCAAAAAAUUCCUCCUACUCUAUAACCAAGAUGACACUCUUCUGAAAACUAGGAUAUUUCCUCUCAAAAACGCCACUUUUCUCCCAAAAAUGCAGCCGUUUCUUCCCCUCGGGACCUCUUUUCUCCUCCAUAGAUGAGACUUUC